AACAAGAGAGCAAGAGAUAUACGGAUUCAAAACGAGGAGCCAAGGAGUCGAAUCUAGCCGUAGGAGACAGAGUAGUUCUUGCCCAGCAGAAGCGGCUUAAGUCCGAUCCAACUUUCGGAAUAGAGAAGUACACGAUUUUGGCUAGAGACGGCGCGAAACUGGUCGUUCGGAGCGACCGAGGAGUAGUGUACUCGCGCAAUGUAGAAGAUGCUAAGAGGGCUGUUCAGGACUCACCCGACGAGACCACCCCGGGUCCGACAGACAAACAGAAGUCAGAUGUUUUCAAUGCCGACGAAACUCUAACAGGUGAAGCGGAUGACACGAUAAAUGAAAACGUACAGCAGGUGGGGGACCAAUCGUUACGAGCGAGGCCUAAACGAAACAUCACGAAGCCCACCAAAUACAAAGACAUGGUUUUGUAUCAAGUGUAUGAAUAGAAGCGAACACUACUGUACGAAAUUCUUUCAGAACAUACAUAAAAUACUUUCAAUGUAGACCAAAAAAGCUAAAUACACAAUAUGCUGAACUUA